rnacentral:rRNA from 1 species
AUUGAACGCUGGCGGAAUGCUUUACACAUGCAAGUCGAACGGCAGCACGGGUGCUUGCACCUGGUGGCGAGUGGCGAACGGGUGAGUAAUGCACCGGAACGUAUCCAAUAAUGGGGGAUAACGCACCGAAAGGUGUGCUAAUACCGCAUACGCCCUGAGGGGGAAAGCGGGGGAUCGUAAGACCUCGCGUUAAUGGAGCGGCCGAUGCCGGAUUAGCUAGUUGGUGAGGUAAAGGCUCACCAAGGCGACGAUCCGUAGCUGGUCUGAGAGGACGACCAGCCACACUGGAACUGAGACACGGUCCAGACUCCUACGGGAGGCAGCAGUGGGGAAUUUUGGACAAUGGGCGCAAGCCUGAUCCAGCCAUUCCGCGUGAGUGAGGAAGGCC